AUGCUCCACCUCAUAUUUGAC
rnacentral:miRNA from 1 species